rnacentral:rRNA from 1 species
CCUACGGGGCGCAGCAGUCGAGAAUCAUUCACAAUGGGGGAAACCCUGAUGGUGCGACGCCGCGUGGGGGAAUGAAGGUCUUCGGAUUGUAAACCCCUGUCAUGUGGGAGCAAAUUAAAAAGAUAGUACCACAAGAGGAAGAGACGGCUAACUCUGUGCCAGCAGCCGCGGUAAUACAGAGGUCUCAAGCGUUGUUCGGAAUCACUGGGCGUAAGGCGUGCGUAGGCUGUUUCGUAAGUCGUGUGUGAAAGGCGCGGGCUCAACCCGCGGACGGCACAUGAUACUGCGAGACUAGAGUAAUGGAGGGGGAACCGGAAUUCUCGGUGUAGCAGUGAAAUGCGUAGAUAGCGAGAGGAACACUCGUGGCGAAGGCGGGUUCCUGGACAUUAACUGACGCUGAGGCACGAAGGCCAGGGGAGCGAAAGGGAUUAGAUACCCCAGUAGUC